ACCUACCUUUUACAGGGGAAUAGCCCGGAGAAAUUCGGAUUAAUGCUCCAUGGUUUAUAUGAAUGGCAUCAUUUGUAUAAUAAAGAUUUAUCGGUAAAAGAUGGGCAUGCGUAUCAUUAGCUAGUUGGUGUGGUAACGGCAUACCAAGGCGACGAUGAUUAGGGGUCCUGAGAGGGAGAUCCCCCACACUGGUACUGAGACACGGACCAGACUCCUACGGGAGGCAGCAGUGAGGAAUAUUGGUCAAUGGAGGCAACUCUGAACCAGCCAUGCCGCGUGCAGGAUGACGGUCCUAUGGAUUGUAAACUGCUUUUGUACGGGAAGAAAUGUAAUUACGUGUAAUUAUUUGACGGUACCGUAAGAAUAAGGAUCGGCUAACUCCGUGCCAGCAGCCGCGGUAAUACGGAGGAUCCGAGCGUUAUCCGGAAUUAUUGGGUUUAAAGGGUUCGUAGGCGGUUUAGUAAGUCAGUGGUGAAAUCUUAUAGCUUAACUAUAAAAUUGCCGUUGAUACUGCUAAACUUGAAUAGUAUGGAAGUAAUUAGAAUAUGUAGUGUAGCGGUGAAAUGCUUAGAUAUUACAUGGAAUACCAAUUGCGAAGGCAGAUUACUACGUACUUAUUGACGCUGAUGAACGAAAGCGUGGGUAGCGAACAGGAUUAGAUACCCUGGUAGUCCACGCCGUAAACGAUGGAUACUAGCUGUUCGGUUUUCGGACUGAGUGGCUAAGCGAAAGUGAUAAGUAUCCCACCUGGGGAGUACGUUCGCAAGAAUGAAACUCAAAGGAAUUGACGGGGGCCCGCACAAGCGGUGGAGCAUGUGGUUUAAUUCGAUGAUACGCGAGGAACCUUACCAAGGCUUAAAUGUAGAUUGACAGGUUUAGAGAUAGACUUUUCUUCGGACAAUUUACAAGGUGCUGCAUGGUUGUCGUCAGCUCGUGCCGUGAGGUGUCAGGUUAAGUCCUAUAACGAGCGCAACCCCUAUUGUUAGUUGCCAGCGAGUCAUGUCGGGAACUCUAACAAGACUGCCGGUGCAAACCGUGAGGAAGGUGGGGAUGACGUCAAAUCAUCACGGCCCUUACGUCUUGGGCUACACACGUGCUACAAUGGCCAGUACAGAAAGCAGCUACCAGGCAACUGGAUGCGAAUCUCAAAAACUGGUCUCAGUUCGGAUUGGAGUCUGCAACUCGACUCCAUGAAGCUGGAAUCGCUAGUAAUCGGAUAUCAGCCAUGAUCCGGUGAAUACGUUCCCGGGCCUU
rnacentral:rRNA from 1 species